rnacentral:rRNA from 1 species
UACGAAGGGGGGCUAGCGUUGCUCGGAAUUACUGGGCGUAAAGCGCGUGUAGGCGGCUGCGCAAGUCGGAUGUGAAAUCCCGUGGCUCAACCACGGAAGUGCACCCGAAACUGCGUAGCUGGAGUCUCGGAGAGGAAGGUGGAAUGCUUGGUGUAGAGGUGAAAUUCGUAGAUAUCAAGCGGAACACCGGUGGCGAAGGCGGCCUUCUGGACGAUGACUGACGCUGAGACGCGAAAGCGUGGGGGAGCAAACAGGG